ACGAUACGGCGUCGAGCGGCGGACGGGUGAGUAAUGCCUAGGAAAUUGCCCUGAUGUGGGGGAUAACCAUUGGAAACGAUGGCUAAUACCGCAUAAUGCCUACGGGCCAAAGAGGGGGACCUUCGGGCCUCUCGCGUCAGGAUAUGCCUAGGUGGGAUUAGCUAGUUGGUGAGGUAAGGGCUCACCAAGGCGACGAUCCCUAGCUGGUCUGAGAGGAUGAUCAGCCACACUGGAACUGAGACACGGUCCAGACUCCUACGGGAGGCAGCAGUGGGGAAUAUUGCACAAUGGGCGCAAGCCUGAUGCAGCCAUGCCGCGUGUGUGAAGAAGGCCUUCGGGUUGUAAAGCACUUUCAGUCGUGAGGAAGGUAGUGUAGUUAAUAGCUGCAUUAUUUGACGUUAGCGACAGAAGAAGCACCGGCUAACUCCGUGCCAGCAGCCGCGGUAAUACGGAGGGUGCGAGCGUUAAUCGGAAUUACUGGGCGUAAAGCGCAUGCAGGUGGUUUGUUAAGUCAGAUGUGAAAGCCCGGGGCUCAACCUCGGAAUUGCAUUUGAAACUGGCAGACUAGAGUACUGUAGAGGGGGGUAGAAUUUCAGGUGUAGCGGUGAAAUGCGUAGAGAUCUGAAGGAAUACCGGUGGCGAAGGCGGCCCCCUGGACAGAUACUGACACUCAGAUGCGAAAGCGUGGGGAGCAAACAGGAUUAGAUACCCUGGUAGUCCACGCCGUAAACGAUGUCUACUUGGAGGUUGUGGCCUUGAGCCGUGGCUUUCGGAGCUAACGCGUUAAGUAGACCGCCUGGGGAGUACGGUCGCAAGAUUAAAACUCAAAUGAAUUGACGGGGGCCCGCACAAGCGGUGGAGCAUGUGGUUUAAUUCGAUGCAACGCGAAAAACCUUACCUACUCUUGACA
rnacentral:rRNA from 1 species